CAUGGGCGCAAGCCUGAUGCAGCCAUGCCGCGUGUGUGAAGAAGGCCUUCGGGUUGUAAAGCUCUUUCUGCGGGGAAGAAGCGACACGGCUUAUUACCGUGUGGAUUGACCUUACCCUUACAAAAGCACCGGUUUACUCCGUGCC
rnacentral:rRNA from 1 species